rnacentral:misc_RNA from 1 species
UGCCAUUGCUUGUUGAUUGAAAUAACAGCACAUGGUAUGAAUUUAAACGAUAAUGUGAAUACACACUAAUGAACCCAAAAUUCAGGGAAAAGGACUUCCGCAUUAUCAAUGGCCUCCAAUAGAUUUUUCAUAAUGCAGGAAUCCAAUGAGAAUAACCCUGUCAAACUCAGAAUCUUAUAAUUUGCUUUCCCAACAAAGCUCUGAGUAAAUAUUCUAAAUCAAAAAACCCAAUAGCAUGAGAAAAAUACCAAAAUCACCUGAUCUUCAAGUUUGAUCCAUUUCAAGCUUCUAAGGAGGCAAAAGGAAUCCUCCAGUCAUAUUCAUAGCUACGUCGUUCAUGGUCACCAUCAAACACUAAAACAGUGUCAACAUACUGCAUUGAAUCUGACUCAUCAACCAAAACCAGGAGGCACAUCAGGGUCCUCAUCACAAUCGUCACAUGGCUGCCUUUGCUCAAUAUCUGUAGAAAAGCCAGGUGGCAAACCAGGAUCAACAUCAUCAGCCUCCAGCUUAUCUUUUGAGUGGUUAACCC